rnacentral:rRNA from 1 species
CACGUAGGGUGCGAGCGUUGUCCGGAAUUAUUGGGCGUAAAGAGCUCGUAGGCGGUGUGUCGCGUCGGCCGUGAAAACCUGCAGCUUAACUGUGGGCUUGCGGUCGAUACGGGCAUCACUGGAGUUCGGCAGGGGAGACUGGAAUUCCUGGUGUAGCGGUGAAAUGCGCAGAUAUCAGGAGUAACACCGGUGGCGAAGGCGGGUCUCUGGGCCGAUACUGACGCUGAGGAGCGAAAGCGUGGGGAGCGAACAGG